rnacentral:hammerhead_ribozyme from 1 species
GCACUGCUGAGGAGUCCCAUACUAGGACGAAAUGUCCGUCCAGUGC